rnacentral:rRNA from 1 species
CCUACGGGUGGCAGCAGUGCGGAAUAUUGGUCACUGUACGAGCGUCUGAACCAGCCAAGUAGCGUGAAGGAUGACUGCCCUAUGGGUUGUAAACUUCUUUUAUAUGGGAAUAACAUGUUCCACGUGUGGGUUUUUGUAUGUACCAUAUGACUAAGUCUCGUCUCACUCCUUGCCCGCAGCCGCGGUAAUACGGAGUCUCCGCGCGUUAUCCGGCUUUCUUGGGUUUAAAGGGAGCGUAGGUGGAUUGUUAAGGCAGUUGUGAAAGUUUGCGGCUCAACCGUAAAAUUGCAGUUGAAACUGGAAGUCUUGAGUACAGUAGAGGUGGGCGGAAUUCGUGGUGUAGCGGUGAAAUGCUUAGAUAUCACGAAGAACUCCGAUUGCGAAGGCAGUUCACUGGACUGCAAAUGACACUGAGGCUCGAAAGUGUGGGUAUCAAACAGGAUUAGAUACCCCUGUAGUC